rnacentral:rRNA from 1 species
UGAGGAACAUGACCUUCGGCGGGGGAUAGCCGGCCCAACGGCCGGGUAAUACCGCGUACGACCACAUGGGGACAUCCCUGAGUGGUGAAAGCAGCAAUGCGCCGAUGGAGUGCCUCGCGGCCUAUCAGCUAGUUGGUGAGGUAGCGGCUCACCAAGGCGACGGACGGGUAGCUGGUCUGAGAGGAUGGCCAGCCACAGUUGGGACUGAGACACGGCCCAGAUCCCGUACGGGG